ensembl:misc_RNA Metazoa_SRP Metazoan signal recognition particle RNA
GCUGGGCAUGGUGGCGCGUGCCUGUAAUCCCAGCUACUCGGGAGGCUGAGACAGGAGAAUCACUUGAACCCAGGAGGCAGAGGUUGCAGUGAGCUGAGAUCGUGCCACUGCACUCCAGCCUGGGUGACAGAGUGAGACUCCAUCUCAA